rnacentral:misc_RNA from 1 species
GAUGAAGAACGCAGUGAAAUGCGAUAAGUAAUGUGAAUUGCAGAAUUCAGUGAAUAAUCGAAUCUUUGAACGCACCUUGCACCCUUUGGCAUUCCGAAGGGUAUGCUCGUUUGAGUGUCAUUGUACUCUCACACUCCCGAUCUUUGGAUUGGGAGCGGUGGACUUGGGUUUGCUGCUUGCCGUGGCUCACCUCAAAUGGAUUAGUGCAACUCUUGGUUGACCAUAGUACGGCGUGAUAAGUGUCUUCGCCGGCACCUCACUGGGUGGGCCGAUCGGGAGCUCUGUGCUUCAAACCGUCUUCGGACAACAACUGACAAAUUGACCUCAAAUCGAGUAGGACCACCCGCUGAACUUAAGCAUAUCAAUAAGCGGAGGA